rnacentral:rRNA from 1 species
UACGGAGGGUGCAAGCGUUAUCCGGAUUCACUGGGUUUAAAGGGUGCGUAGGUGGGCAGGUAAGUCAGUGGUGAAAUCUCCGGGCUUAACCCGGAACUGCCGUUGAUACUAUCUGUCUUGAAUAUCGUGGAGGUGAGCGGAAUAUGUCAUGUAGCGGUGAAAUGCUUAGAUAUGACAUUAGAACAUCAAUUGCGAAGGACAGCUCGCUACACGGUUAUUGACACUGAGGCACGAAAGCGUGGGGAUCAAACAGG